UCUUAUGGAUGAGCAAUGCAAGUGGUUCUUUGAGAUGGAAUCUACCCCUGGUGAAAAUGUUAUGAA
rnacentral:pre_miRNA from 1 species